CCUAAAAACAUCUCAAAUAUUUUGAAGUUGCAAGUUAAUUAUGAGAAAAGAAACAAAUGUCCAACACCCAGUUUGGGGGAAAUUUUCUAAGGCAGCCACAGGUCUAAUGUUUGCCCAAAUGGAAUCUUUGGAAUCAUAGAGAUACUCCUUCACCUCCCAGCCAGCUCCAUCAGGUCUCUUCUAUGAUAAGAACAACAGGAAGGCAGAGAGAACACGCAGAAGGUUGACAAGAAGCUGACAUGAGCCCUUGUUUCCAUAGAACAGGGGAGAAAACAGUGAACUCUCCAUGCAAAACCAGCUCCUGGAGAAGAACCAAGUGUGGUGUGGUCUUGUCAGCCUGUUACCUGAGCAAGAGUGACAAGAUCAUGUGGGACUCACCAGGAUAUGGAGUCACAGACUGCUUAAUUCCAUACCGUGUUCUCUUGCUACUCCCGUAAAUACCAGUGUGUUACAUGGCAUGUCAAAUACGCAUCAAUUCCUU